AUGAUCACACUCUUUGUGGCUCUUUACUCUCUGCUUUGUCUCUGCACAAAUGGAAACACGUCUGACAUCAAGGAGCUUUAUGUGAAAACAGUAAAGCGUGGAGAAGCUGUAACUAUGGAGUGUAACAUUAGUGAGAUCACGAAUAAACUUAAUUUAGUUUGGUACAGGCAGCGUUUUGGAAAAUUGCCUCAGUUUUUGGCCAAACCGUAUAAUAACGCUCAGGGCUACACGUUCGAUACAGGACUUAAUGAUAUCCGCUUCAGUUUUACUGUAAAUGAUCAGAAAUUUGACCUCAACAUUAAUAAAACAAGAGAAGAUGAUGGAGGAGAAUAUUUUUGUGGAGAAAUGGAGGGAAACACGAUAAGGUUCACAUCUGGAACACGUCUGCAAAUUCAAGACCGUCCUACACUCAGAAUGUUGAAGACAGAGUUUGUUACACCCCAGUGUUCAAACAGCAGCAAAGUAGAAGGUGAGAGCUGUCCUGAUAACAUGAGCAUUUUCUUCUGGCUUUCCAUCUCAAGGAUCGGAGUUCUCUUCCUCAUGGUUAUUACCCUCACCAUGUCUACAUGGAUUUAAAAUCAAAAAGCUUUGCAAAGAAUGUUUUUAACUAUGAUAACAUUAACCUUUUUCUAUUUUUCUAUUUCUAUAUUAUAAAUAUAUAUUAUUUUUAUAUUUAUAUUUCUUUGCUCUAUAAGAGAAAGUUCUGUGGUUUCGCUCUAGUCAAAUAUUUUGUGCAACACAAAUGUAAUCGGCCAAAACACAGUAUUGGUGCUGUUUUUAUUCAUAUUUUUAUGUAGUGGCCAAAGAAGCUACUUCUGAAGUUUAUGUGACAUGGAAGUGGUCAAUCUCGCUUCCCUAAAAAUUUCAGCCGUUUUUUUUUCUAAAGACGAUUUUAUAUGUGACCCAAAAAUGCAAAUUAUUCAUAUUACUUUGAAUAUUGAUGUUAAAUUCGGUUUUUGGUAAAGGCUUAAAAGGCAAAAAAUCUGUGGUGUCCAUAAACAUGUCACAUUCAUAGGGCAAUAUCUUAACAGUUUAGAAUUUUAUAAUACAGUAAUACAGAAAAUAAUCCUCAGGUUUAUGUCUUUUCAUGUGAAAUCUAAUUUUCCCAAGUUUUAUCUGAAUGACAGUUAAGAUCGUUGGAAGAUUUGAUUUAAAAAAGUUACAGACACUAUAUAUAUUUAGCAUGCUAUGUAAAUAGCAAAUUAUAUAUUUGAUAAAAUUAUAAACAUUUAUGCACGUUUACAAAAAAAAACAUUGUAUGGAUCAGGAGAUAAUAACAAAGUAUUAUAAAUACUGAUUGUUUGAAGUGAGACAGUAUAACGCUGAAAAAUAGAUUUAAAAUCAGAUAUAAAAUCAUCUCUUCAAAACAACUGAAGUCAGAAACUUGACAUUUUUAGGGAAGCGAGAUCGGUCACUUCCAUGUUGUAUAAACUUCAGAAGUAGUUUCUUUGCCCACACACUGUAUUAGAUGUAUUUAUUUUAUUAUUUAUUUUUAAACAUCAGCACUAAUACUGUGUUUUGGCCGUUUGGAUUGUGAAUGCAAUUAAAAUGCAUUAAAAAAAUUACUCAUUGUUUCCAAAUGAAAACAUAUUUUUAAAGUACUGAAGCCAUUAUGACCAUUAUUUCCACUCUAGUUAUUUCCAAUCACAUUAAUUUUAUUUUCUGUGUAUAACACUUUGAGAGAAAUAAUAAAGAUAAUGCAGUAGGUUUACUUCAUUACUUUACCUAAAUACAUAAUAACAUAUCUGUACUUCAGUAGUUUGAUUAGCCAAUACUUUCUAUUUUUACUCCACUACAUUCUUCAGCAAAUAUCUUUAUUAUAUGGACUUGGUUACAUUUCUGCAUGGCAUUGCAUUACAUAACUACUGUACAGAUGUAGCAGGAAUGUCGCCCCCUCCUGACUGUUAUGUGUAACUUGUCCUCACUUAAAUGCUUAAUCAUGUAACAGGAGCUGAGAGGGUUUGAUGAGAGCAGAGAGAAAGAGAGGGUUUUUACUAUGACAUAAAAGCUACAGUGAGUUAAUACAAGCUCAGAACUUUUUAUUCUUGAGUAAAAUAAAGAAUUGUAAGAAUUUUACAUUUCUACUACUUUCACUUGAUUGAUGGAGGAUCUCUUCUUUUACUCAAAUACACAAUUUGAGUACAUUGCCCAAAACUGUGAACAUUUAACAAUGGAGAUUAUCACAAAGCAGCUUUAGAGAAAUAAAAUUCUGAAUAUA